UAGUCCACGCCGUAAACGAUGAGCACUAGUUUUUGGGGGUAUUGACCCCUUCAGAAACGUAGCUAACGCAUUAAGUGCUCCGCCUGGGGAGUACGGUCGCAAGACUAAAACUCAAAGGAAUUGACGGGGGCCCGCACAAGCGGUGGAUUAUGUGGUUUAAUUCGAAGCAACGCGCAGAACCUUACCUGGGCUUGAACUCCUGAGAACAUCGAGUAAUUUUGAUGGUGCCCUUCGGGGAAUUCAGUGAGAGGUGCUGCAUGGCUGUCGUCAGCUCGUGUUGUGAAAUGUUGGGUUAAGUCUCGCAACGAGCGCAACCCCUAUCUUUAGUUGCCAGCAUUAAGUUGGGCACUCUAGAGAGACUGCCUGGGUUAACCAGGAGGAAGGUGGGGAUGACGUCAAGUCCUCAUGGCCCUUAUGUCCAGGGCUACACACGUAAUACAAUGGUGCAAACAAAGGGACGCGAACUCGCGAGGGGGAGGCGAAAUACUCAAAAAUUAGCAUCUAAGUCCGGA
rnacentral:rRNA from 1 species